rnacentral:rRNA from 1 species
AUUGAACGCUGGCGGCAGGCCUAACACAUGCAAGUCGAGCGGAUGAAGGGAGCUUGCUCCUGGAUUCAGCUGCGGACGGGUGAGUAAUGCCUAGGAAUCUGCCUGGUAGUGGGGGAUAACGUCCGGAAACGGGCGCUAAUACCGCAUACGUCCUGAGGUAGAAAGUGGGGGAUCUUCGGACCUCACGCUAUCAGAUGAGCCUAGGUCGGAUUAGCUAGUUGGUGGGGUAAAGGCCUACCAAGGCGACGAUCCGUAACUGGUCUGAGAGGAUGAUCAGUCACACUGGAACUGAGACACGGUCCAGACUCCUACGGGAGGCAGCAGUGGGGAAUAUUGGACAAUGGGCGAAAGCCUGAUCCAGCCAUGCCGCGUGUGUGAAGAAGGUCUUCGGAUUGUAAAGCACUUUAAGUUGGGAGGAAGGGCAGUAAGUUAAUACCUUGCUGUUUUGACGUUACCAACAGAAUAAGCACCGGCUAACUUCGUG